UACGGAGGGUGCAAGCGUUAUCCGGAUUCACUGGGUUUAAAGGGUGCGUAGGCGGUCAGAUAAGUCAGAGGUGAAAUACCUGAGCUUAACUUGGGAACUGCCAUUGAUACUAUUUGUCUUGAAUGUCGUGGAGGUUAGCGGAAUAUGUGAUGUAGCGGUGAAAUGCUUAGAGAUGACAUAGAACACCUAUUGCGAAGGCAGCUAACUACGCGAAUAUUGACGCUGAGGCACGAAAGCGUGGGGAGCAAACAGG
rnacentral:rRNA from 1 species